rnacentral:lncRNA from 12 species
AUGCUGAUGAGUUUACAAACUUUACCUUGGACUGUAAAGGUAACUUGUUGGCCUUUACUAGGGCUAGUAAACCCUAGCCCAUGCCUAUGGAGAAGCCCUGCAGGAGACUCCAGGCCUCAGAUGCCACCAACAGCUCACAACUUACCAGCUCCAGGACAAGGCCAACAACCUUCCAUUUGGAGAACAUGCAGCCCUCAAGCCCCAGCAGUAUCGUUCACCUCUGUCCAUCAUCUAGAUCCUGGACUUAAAAUUAGAACCUGGAUCCCAGUUCCAUUUAAGAUUUCCAUGAAUGCUUUCUUCCUCAAAACUAGUAAAGUGACGAAAAGUGAAAUGUAACUAGAUCUUCUGGUUCUGGAUUGUAGCAGCGAUUGAGAUGGAAUCCUAAAAAUAGGAAAGGCAAGAGACAUGGAAGGACCUCAGUUUCCUAGGGAACUUGGUACCUGUCACCUUGUCAUUAUCAUUCUUCUUGCAUGGAGUCUCCUUUACAAUCGUUAGCAACCUUUACUGCCUGAACUUGAUCAAGAAUUUACCAUUGGAAACCAGACUUUGAUUCAGCUUGAGAGAGAAAAAGAGUAUCACAGUUAUGUACUCACCACUCCUCCCCAUCCCCAAACCCAGCAUAGGGAAAACAAAAUUUGAACUUGAAUAAAAUAAACCUGCCUCUUUCUACUUAGACUCUG